rnacentral:pre_miRNA from 1 species
CCUUAGGAAUGAGUGAAGAAAAUAGUUUCUUGAGAUAGAAUCUACUCUUGGUAAAGAUACUGUGAA